rnacentral:rRNA from 1 species
UCGUUUAUUUGAUAGUACCUUUUACAUGGAUAACCGUGGUAAUUCUAGAGCUAAUACAUGCUAAAAACCCCAACUUCGGAAGGGGUGUAUUUAUUAGAUUAAAAGCCAACGCCCUUCGGGGCUCUUUGGUGAUUCAUAAUAACUAAACGAAUCGCAUGGCCUUGCGCCGGCGAUGGUUCAUUCAAAUUUCUGCCCUAUCAACUUUCGAUGGUAAGGUAGUGGCUUACCAUGGUCUCGACGGGUAACGGGGAAUUAGGGUUCGAUUCCGGAGAGGGAGCCUGAGAGACGUAAGUUUUACCAUUCCGUCCGAUCGAUUUCAAGAUGCUAAAUUUUCACAGGGCUACCACAUCCAAGGAAGGCAGCAGGCGCGCAAAUUACCCAAUCCCGACCCGGGGAGGUAGUGACAAUACGUACUGAUGCGGAGCUCUUUUGGGUUUCGCAAUCGGAAUGAGUACAAUCUAAAUCCCUUAACGAGGAACAAUUGGAGGGCAAGUCUGGUGCCAGCAGCCGCGGUAAUUCCAGCUCCAAUAGCGUAUAUUAAAGUUGUUGCGGUUAAAAAGCUCGUAGUUGAACCUUGGGCCUGGCUGUCCGGUCCGCCUCACCGCGUGCACUGGUUCGGCCGGGCCUUUCCUCCUGGGGAUCCCCAUGCCCUUCGCUGGGCGUGCGGGGGAACCAGGACUUUUACUUUGAAAAAAUUAGAGUGUUCAAAGCAGGCAUAUGCUCGAAUACAUUAGCAUGGAAUAAUAGAAUAGGACGUGCGUCCCUAUUUUGUUGGUUUCUAGGGACGCCGUAAUGAUUAAUAGGGAUAGUCGGGGGCAUCAGUAUUCAAUUGUCAGAGGUGAAAUUCUUGGAUUUAUUGAAGACUAACUACUGCGAAAGCAUUUGCCAAGGAUGUUUUCAUUAAUCAGUGAACGAAAGUUAGGGGAUCGAAGACGAUCAGAUACCGUCGUAGUCUUAACCAUAAACUAUGCCGACUAGGGAUCGGACGGUCUUAUUAUUUUGACCCGUUCGGCACCUUACGAGAAAUCAAAGUUUUUGGGUUCCGGGGGGAGUAUGGUCGCAAGGCUGAAACUUAAAGAAAUUGACGGAAAGGCACCACCAGGCGUGGAGCCUGCGGCUUAAUUUGACUCAACACGGGGAAACUCACCAGGUCCAGACACAAUAAGGAUUGACAGAUUGAGAGCUCUUUCUUGAUCUUGUGGUUGGUUUUGCUGUGCAUCGCCAGCCCUUACAGUUGCUUUACGCUAGUCCGCUCUGCCCGGGCGACGUUCCUCUGAUGCUGAGAGCCGCCCUCGCGGUAUCAGCAGCCGUGGCGCUGCCUGCCCGGUUCACAGACUAAACACGAACGGGCCACCGCCCGCGGCGCAGUUGCCCUGUGCCGUCGUCGCGGUUGGUUUAAGAUAUAGCCGAACCCCGGGGCUCANGCUCCGGGUGGAAGUGGGUG